rnacentral:rRNA from 1 species
UACGUAGGGGGCAAGCGUUGUCCGGAUUUAUUGGGCGUAAAGAGCGUGUAGGCGGCCUGACAGGUCUGCUGUGAAAACUCGAGGCUCAACCUCGAGAUGUCGGCGGAAACCGUCUGGCUAGAGUCCGGAAGAGGAGAGUGGAAUUCCUGGUGUAGCGGUGAAAUGCGCAGAUAUCAGGAAGAACACCAAUUGCGAAGGCAGCUCGCUGGGACGUUACUGACGCUGAGACGCGAAAGCGUGGGGAGCAAACAGG